UUUACUGUAAAAAAAUGGUUAGGUUCGCUCAAGUAGUGAGCUCCCUAGACACAACACGAAAAUUCAACUCUACUAGUACUAGCUUGUUUGGUUACCGAGAAAAUCAAGUAUUCCCAGGAAAUAAAAGUCUCUUUAGUGAGCUCCCUAAGAAGUAAAUGAUGGGGGGGUUUUGAAGAAUUUGAACCCAUUUUUGAUGAACCCAGAAUAGAAUGGUCAAAUAAUUCUAAUCCGAGUUCGGGUUUGAUGGGCCAGUUCUUGAUGCGUAUAUUUGCUCCUGACUACAACCACCUCAAAAUUCAAGUAACUGAUUACCAUUCCAAUACUUUUGAGGAUGCUAAAUCGGUUAUGCAGCUUGAUGACUUGAGGGAUUGCAUUGGAAUUGGAGGGUCUUGGACUGAGCUUGUCGAGUAACUUGCUGCUUCUUUUAAAUCUGACGAUGUAAAGCUUGUUCUUGAGAAACUUUCGGAUUCGGAUGGUGAUUCAUGUUGUUGAACUUUAAUGCAUUUUAAUUCUAAUUUCUAAAUACUAAAUGACGAUAUAUGGUGAAGUGAAGUGAUUUUUCAGCCAAGCAUUUCUUACAUGCUGCAGGGCAUCUUCUUCUUCUUCUUUGUGUGGUUUGCUUACUCCUUUAAGACUGCCCUCCCCUGCUUUACAACAGACAAACUAGAAGGACGAGAUCCUGCCUCAACGAAAGUUACUAAUCGUGUCGUGUCAGCAUUUCACAGGGCAAAAGUGAGGGGUGCCUUACUCCAGGAUACAGAAGAUGACGAAAAUAACUAGAAGUCAUUUUGACAGUUUGUUUCACUGUGUUUUGGAAUUAAAGAUUACAGAUUAGAAUUAUGAUUCACAUAUAAUAUACCAAGCAAAGAAGUCGAUCAGUUUAAGUACAAGGAGUAAUAUCUUUGGGUUACUGAUCAGGUAACAACUGGAUGUCAGUUUUGUAUUUCUCAUUAGAAAAUGUAAUGCCUCCAUCAGAUUUGUAGCUUACUAUUUGGGGUGUGUGUAUUCUUUUAACCUCUUGUUUAUACAAAUGCUGCUAUGGGUUGAUGUGACCUUACACAUCGUCAAUAUGGCCUAUUCUGUUUCCAAGCAUGUGCUAUUAUCCUUUAGGUUAAGAAACAAAACUGUUGAAAUCAGAUGAAAUAUCAAAAAGCAUCUAAAGAACUAGAAGGCCAACCUUCUUGAGUAUAAUCUAUAAUAGGAGUGAUUUUACACGAAAGAGUGGCUCCUAUCUACAAGACUAUAAAGUAAGUUGUAAGAGAUAAAUUGAUAUCUGCAAAAGGCAAGACUCUGUUUUAAAUAUAUUCUCUAAAGAACCAUCCCAGAAUAAUUUCUCUUGCUUGUGUCAUUUCUUAUUCUAUGGCUCAUACUGAUACCAUUGCGAAAAUCUUCAGACGCGUCCUUUGAGUUUAGUACUUUUGCUUUUCUUAGUGCAGAAGAUAGGCCAGCAGCUUGGCAAGGCAUCCAUGUUGUCAUCAUACCUGCACAAUCCCAAUCAUUCAAAUGUUAAAAUUUAACAGAACCCAAGAAAUACCUGCUUGGGCUGCUGUUCCUGCUGCUAGUGCUUGUGCUGCUGUUCCGGCUGCUGCUCCCACUUUUCCUACACACUUUUGUAAACAAAAUCCUGUUGACCCACCACUCCUUGUCUGCGCGGUUAUCAGUUAGUUCCAUCGAUGACCUUGGAGGAACUUCUGUGUCAUUUCUCGUGUUGUCUGAUCUGAUCUUGAAACUGAGAGAAGUUGGAAUCAACAUCUUGAUCAAGAAAGUUUCCUUUUCCAUACUUCCAUUUCUUGAAAUAUCACCUGUCUUGCUAAAACUCUUCGUCUUCUUCGUCUUUUGUUUUGUGAUGAUUUGAGCCUCAAUCUUUAAAUCAGAACUUGUUCUUUGUAUCGCCAUCUCCUCCCGUGCCUCUUCUGAAAUCUGCUGCACAUCAACAAUAUCCUUCAACGAUAGUUCAUAACUACACUCUGGCAUGCUAUGAACCAUCUCCAUGAGCUUCUUCCUACCUUCUGCCAUCACUUGUAACCGUGACCUUGGCGAAAUACUACUGUUAUGAUGGCUACGGGGGGAUAAAGGGGAGGAUUCAUUUCUAACAUUUAUUGACACAUCAGUUUCUCUCAAGGGUGAUGAGUAAUCAACAAAGUCUUCUUCAAACUGUGCUUGAAACCCUACGUCACUACAUCCUCUAUCACCAUAAUAUUGUGUUUCACUUGCACCCCAGAAAACAAAGUCUGCGUCUCCGUUGUCAUUGCCGUGCAUUUUGUACUCAGGAUUCAAAGAAGGGAGAUGAUUGCAGUGAUCAAGCAUGGCCUUGAUCAGGAGGAGUGUUGAGAGAAGAACAAGUGAUGCUCAAUUAAGAGAAAAUAAAGAGAUUUUAUGGGAAGGAUAAUAGUCUUAUUUUCUACACAGUUUACAUAGGGGCUAAAAGUCUUGCCGUCUCAAAUGGGAUGAGAUGUGACUGGUCUAAGCUUCCUAUUUUUCUACACAUGUCUUGUUCAAGAUUUUCUUAAGAAAAUUUACAAUGAGUAAACACCUAUCUUGGUUU